GACGAACGCUGGCGGCGUGCCUAAUACAUGCAAGUUGAGCGCUGAAGGUUGGUACUUGUACCAACUGGAUGAGCAGCGAACGGGUGAGUAACGCGUGGGGAAUCUGCCUUUGAGCGGGGGACAACAUUUGGAAACGAAUGCUAAUACCGUAUAAAAACUUUAAACACAAGUUUUAAGUUUGAAAGAUGCAAUUGCAUCACUCAAAGAUGAUCCCGCGUUGUAUUAGCUAGUUGGUGAGGUAAAGGCUCACCAAGGCGAUGAUACAUAGCCGACCUGAGAGGGUGAUCGGCCACAUUGGGACUGAGACACGGCCCAAACUCCUACGGGAGGCAGCAGUAGGGAAUCUUCGGCAAUGGACGAAAGUCUGACCGAGCAACGCCGCGGGAGUGAAGAAGGUUUUCGGAUCGUAAAACUCUGUUGGUAGAGAAGAACGUUGGUGAGAGUGGAAAGCUCAUCAAGUGACGGUAACUACCCAGAAAGGGACGGCUAACUACGUG
rnacentral:rRNA from 1 species